CUAUGCAAGUUGAAAUAUUUAGAGACCGAUCAUAAAAUUGCUGGCUCCACUCUACUGCAACGCGAGGGCCGGCUUGCUGCACCUUCCCCACAUAAUUGGCCAGAAGGGGAGGAAGAUGGUGAAGCCAAAGAUGACCAACUGAGAUGGGGGAACGACGACCGGCGAGUAGCAGCCCAUAAUGAUGGUCGGCUCCAUUCGACCAUGACGCGAGCAACGCCGGAGCUCCAGCCUGGCUGCUGCUUCCCCAUGCCCAUCCUACUCAUCCUCCUCUGAUUCUCCACACCAAGCAUGAGGACCACACCAGCCAGACUCUCUUAUGGCGACGACCUGCGCCCGAUCCAGAAUCCUUGAUGCACAAGGAAAUAGAUGACUCGAAGCAGUCCAAUAAUUAGUAGCAUCAGAGAUCUCAUACACAGCGCAUUCAGAAAUAUAACGUUUUACAUUCCGGUCAAUGGCAGCAUGAAGUCCAAAAGCAUCAAGUGAAGCAA